rnacentral:rRNA from 1 species
UUGUCCUACGGGGCGCAGCAGUGGGGGAUAUUGCACAAUGGGGGGAACCCUGAUGCAGCGACGCCGCGUGGGUGAAGAGGCGUUUCGGCGCGUAAAGCCCUGUCAGCAGGGAAGAAGAAGGACGGUACCUGACCAAGAAGCCCCGGCUAGCUACGUGCCAGCAGCCGCGGUAAUACGUAGGGGGCAAGCGUUAUCCGGAUUUACUGGGUGUAAAGGGAGCGUAGACGGCCAGACAAGUCUGAAGUGAAAAUCCAGCGCUUAACGUUGGAAGUGCUUUGGAAACUGCCGGGCUGGAGUGCAGGAGG